AAAGCCUUUAAUUACAAUCUUUCUCACUAGAUAAAGCCAAAGCCAAGUUUUGUCAUAAUCAAUACGGACGACUAUGCUCUAGGUAACCCAGGACGAGCAAGUGUAUGGAUGGUUAUUAGGGACCACCAAGGAAAUUGGAUUGCAGAAUCCUUUAGGCACAUCCCUAAUGCCUCGAACGUUGAAGCUGAAUUAUGAGAAUUACAAGACGGAAUUAACCUCGACUAUAACACACAUCACCUGGCC
rnacentral:lncRNA from 1 species